GAUGAACGCUGGCGGCGUGCCUAAUACAUGCAAGUCGAGCGAACAGAUGAGGAGCUUGCUCCUCUGACGUUAGCGGCGGACGGGCGAGUAACACGUGGAUAACCUACCUAUAAGACUGGGAUAACUUCGGGAAACCGGAGCUAAUACCGGAUAAUAUAUUGAACCGCAUGGUUCAAUAGUGAAAGACGGUUUUGCUGUCACUUAUAGAUGGAUCCGCGCCGCAUUAGCUAGUUGGUAAGGUAACGGCUUACCAAGGCGACGAUGCGUAGCCGACCUGAGAGGGUGAUCGGCCACACUGGAACUGAGACACGGUCCAGACUCCUACGGGAGGCAGCAGUAGGGAAUCUUCCGCAAAGGGCGAAAGCCUGACGGAGCAACGCCGCGUGAGUGAUGAAGGUCUUCGGAUCGUAAAACUCUGUUAUUAGGGAAGAACAAAUGUGUAAGUAACUAUGCACGUCUUGACGGUACCUAAUCAGAAAGCCACGGCUAACUACGUG
rnacentral:rRNA from 1 species